GUCGCCCAGAAGCAUUUUUGCAGAUUUGCAGUUCACAAGCCUUGCUGCAUGUGAUCGUUCUACGCAAGUUUAGAGACGGGAUUAGCAAUCCCAUGGUUUUUGGGGGGAUUUUCUAAGACUGGCUAGGCCCUGUUUUAGUCGGGACGAGUGAGAGCUAAUCUCAUUAACUCUAAGCCCCAUGCGGAACAAACACGGGAUUGGACUAAGCCUUAAUCCAGUAAACUUUAGUGAAGGGAAACAAACACCCCCUUGUAGUGUUGUAUGACUCAACUUAUUUGAGUUCUCAGGCUUAGUCCAAUCCCGUGUUUGUUCCCCAUAGGGCUUAGAGUUAAUGAGAUUAGCUCUCACUCGUCCCGACUAAAACAGGGCCUAGCCAGUCUUAGAAAAUCCCCCCAAAACCAUGGGAUUGCUAAUCCCGUCUCUAAACUUGUGUAGAACGAUCACAUGCAGCAAGGCUUGUGAACUGCAAAUCUGCAAAAAUGCUUCUGGGCGACUUUGUUUGCCAACCCAUGUCCAUAUUUGAAACCCAGCCCCACCCACUUGUAGUGUUGUAUGACUCAACUUAUUUGAGUUCUCAUUUUACGCCUCAACUAUAGUUAUCAUGGUUGAUUGAUGCUUAUCUUCCAAGUUACAACGACCUUCACCAAAGGUUCCAGUGUACCACAAUUACGUUGAACUCUCUCAGACUCACUUAAUCUCUAAGUAUAAUAUGGCUCAUAUGAACUUAUAGGACUCAACCUAUUAAUUUUAAGGAAAAUUAAUGGAAAGGGCUUGAAAACUUUGAGUUUUAACGAUAAGGACAAAAUAAAGGAUAAAGUGAAUCGUACCAGGUUUGACUUUUUAGUGUUAAAAUUUGGUUUUUCGUUAAAGUGAACAGUAUCACGGGCUUUUUGUUAAAACUCCCAUUUUAAGGAAAAUUAAUGAAAAGGGCUUGAAAACUUUGACCUAUGACUCAAUAGGAUAAGGUGACUCCUUAGAUAGUUGUAUCUUUUCUUCAAUCGAACAAUCACAACCUUAUUCAUGAAUAGUCCCAACUCAUCAAAUUUAAUUUCUAUUAACAUAAAAUAAUUUUUUUUAAUCAAAUUCAUGAAUAGUCCCUACUCAUAGUCACGUCCCAAUCAAGGAUGUGCCUCAAAAUAUUGUUAGGGUCCUUGAUUGAUUCAUGGGAGACAUGAAUUUCUAACAAAAGAACUCUGCUUUUAGGAAAGAGGGAAA
rnacentral:lncRNA from 1 species